UACGUAGGGUGCAAGCGUUAUCCGGAAUGAUUGGGCGUAAAGGGUCCGCAGGUGGCAAUGUAAGUCUGCUGUCAAAGAAUGAGGCUUAACCUCAUCAAGGCAGUGGAAACUACAUAGCUAGAGUAAGGUAGGGGUAGAGGGAAUUCCUGGUGUAGCGGUGAAAUGCGUAGAGAUCAGGAAGAACACCGGUGGCGAAAGCGCUCUGCUGGACCUUAACUGACACUGAGGGACGAAAGCUAGGGGAGCGAAUGGG
rnacentral:rRNA from 1 species